rnacentral:rRNA from 1 species
GUCUACAGCCAUGCUACCCUGAACAAGCCCAAUGCCAUCUGAUCUCGGAAGCUAAGCAGGGUUGGGCCUGGUUAGUACUUGGAUGGGAGACCACCUAGGAAGACCAGGUGCUGUAGGCA